rnacentral:rRNA from 1 species
AGCGUAGGCGGCGCGGUAAGUCAGAUGUGAAAUCCCGGGGCUCAACCCCGGAACUGCAUCCGAUACUGCCGUGCUCGAGGAUUGGAGAGGUAGCUGGAAUUCUUGGUGUAGCAGUGAAAUGCGUGGAUAUCAAGAGGAACACUCGUGGCGAAAGCGAGCUACUGGACAACUCCUGACGCUGAGGCUCAAGGGCCAGGGGAAGGCGAAAGG